rnacentral:tRNA from 1 species
GUAUAGAAGUCAAAAAGAGACAAGUUAUUGUUAAUAACUUUAUUGAGAUUCUCCUAUUCAAG